AUCAGGCGCCCACCCGGAGAACGAGGGAAUUCAUUUCAAGUUUAAGUCAUCAGGUGCCCACUUGGAGAUCGAGGGAAUUUAUUUCAAGUUUUAAGUCAUCAGGCGCCCACCUGGAGAACGAGGGAAUUUAUUUCAGGUUUUAAGUCAUCAGGCGCCCACCUGAAGAAUGAGAAAAUUUAUUUCAAGUUCAAGGCAUUUGCAGGCAUCCACCUGGAGAAUGAGGGAACUCAUUUUAAGUUUCAAGUAAUUACCAGGCGCCCACCUGGAGAACGAGGAAUUCAUUUCAAGUUCAAGUCAGUCACAGGCGCCCACCUAGAGAACGAGGGAAGUCAUUUCAGAAUUCACUUAAAGUUCGAGUUAGAGGCACCAGGAGCCCGCCUGAAGAACAGGGUCAGCUUUCAAUUUUCAAGUUCGAGUUAGAGGCAGCAGGAGCCCGCCUGAAGAACAUGGUCAAUUUUCAGUUUACAAGUUCAAGUUAGAGAGGCAUCAAGAGCCCGCCUGAAGAACAUGGUCAACUUUUAAUUUUUAAGUUCAAGUUAGAGAGGCAUCAGGAGCCCGCCUGAAGAACAGGGUCAACUUUCAAUUUUCAAGUUCAAGUUAGAGAAGCAUCAAGAGCCUGCCUGAAGAACAUGGUCAAUUUUCAGUUUACAAGUUCAAGUUAGAGAGGCAUUUGGAUCCCGCUUGAAGAACAGGGUCAACUUUCAGUUUUCAAGUUCAAGUAGAGACAGCAGGAUCUCGCCUGAAAAAUAGGGGCAAUCUCCAGUUUUCAAUUCAAAUCAGAAGUAGCGCGAGCUGCCUGAAGAACAAGGUUUGCAAGCUCAAGUCUACUGCAAGUUCAAGUUUAUUUCAAGUGCAAGCAGCAGGGUGCCCGCCUGAAGAAUAGGGUCAACUUCCAGCUUUCUUCAAAUUCAAGUAAGCAGGAUGCCCACCUGAAGAAUGGGGUGAAUUUUCAGUUUCAUAUUGAAGGAUCAAGUGGAGAUUCAAGGAAGAUUCAAGAGAAGAAGUAGAUAGGAUCUUGUAUUUUUCUUUUAUUUUUGUUGUAAUUUUUGCUUUCAAUUCAUGAUGUAAUGACAGGGACCACGGACUGGAACCUCGACGGAACCUCACUCGACUCUCUCAUCAUUUUCACAUACUCUAUCACUUCAUUAACUUCUGAACUACACGUGGCCUGAAUCCCACCCUUCUCCGUAUCCCAACAACCCAAACGCACUCAUGUAGAUACACGAGAGAGAACAGAAGAUCAGAGGCAGAAAACGGACACCCCCUCACAAAACCCUAUCCGCCGAUUUCUUCUUAUCCAUUCCGUCUGAGCAGCUACCCCCUCCCUCACCUCAGUCUCAGCAAAGGGACCGAAAGCGCACACACACAUACACACAAAGACAGACAUGUUCAUAGUUUCAUUCUCUCCUCGGCUUUGCUAUCCGAAGUUCCAUUUCGACAUUCCCUUCUAAGCUUCCUUUUUGCGUCACUCAAUUGAAAUCUGAAGGUUCUAAAAAGUUUUUGAGUGUUUCAGAUACGGAUCUGUGUAUGCGUGCUCGCUUUGAAGUUAAUCUCGCUGCGUUUUCAUUGUUGAUGUGCUGUUUCUGUUUCUGUUGCUGGAUUUACCCCUAUAUUUCAGACCUCAUUUGGUCAUUUUCUGUCGAUUUCUUGUUUGAGGUACGCCAUACUCAUAUAUGAUCCUUUGUCGAAUUCAUAAUUGAAAUCUGGGUUUAUUCGUGUUACAUGUUUGUUUUGAAUUCACG
rnacentral:lncRNA from 1 species